UCCCCGGUGGCUUAGUGGGUUAAGGAUCUAGCAUUGUCACUGCUGUGGCUCGGGUUCGAGGCUUGGCUGGGGAA
rnacentral:tRNA from 1 species